UACGUAGGGUGCGAGCGUUGUUCGGAAUUACUGGGCGUAAAGCGCACGUAGGCGGCUUUGUAAGUUAGAGGUGAAAGCCCGGGGCUCAACUCCGGAAUUGCCUUUAAGACUGCAUCGCUAGAAUUGUGGAGAGGUAAGUGGAAUUCCGAGUGUAGAGGUGAAAUUCGUAGAUAUUCGGAAGAACACCAGUGGCGAAGGCGACUUACUGGACACAUAUUGACGCUUAGGUGCGAAAGCAUGGGGAGCGAACAGG
rnacentral:rRNA from 1 species